GUGAGGAGUGUGAGGAGUGUGAGAGUGUGGAGCGACAGUGAGCUGCAUUGUGAUCAAACUGCAUCAAACAGAAGAUCAGGUCUGUGGGGACCAACUCGAACUCGUACGGAGGAUUGGUGAUCACAUAGCUAUAGGAUUCUUUGUGCUAAAAGACACAUCGCCUGCCUGUUGAGCCCGAGCCAUGCCCCCCGGGACCAAGCUCCCUAUCACCUUACCGCUGGCUGGACUUGCCACCCUGAUCUCACCAUCCCAAAGGCUGAGUGGAGUCAAGCACGCUGACGGCGAAGGCAGUUCCACAGGCGAAGGGCUGUGUGAGGUAGAGCUCAGUGUCUGGAUCAUCGUCAUCAUCCUGAUCCAGGAACUGAACAUUUGAGUCAUUUACUAAAACAAAC